rnacentral:lncRNA from 1 species
ACUACAGCUGAAAUUGGCACCAGCUCCAGCAGGAGCUGGACUGAAUGACCCUGGAUGCCUAUGAGUGCUGUUCUGCUUCCACUUCUCUUCUGACCCAAACUCAGCGUGGUGGUGCAAUAGCCUGGCCAAGCGACUUGUUCUGCAUAUUCCUAGUGCUUUUAUUCCAGGUUUGA